CUCUGGGUGAAGGUCCUAGAGGGAAAGCUACACGAGGAGCGGCUGAAGUUUGUUCAGCCUUGAUGAGACUGAGGUCAGAGCUGCUGCCAGCAGUUCUGCAGCUUCCUCACGAGGGGAAGAGGAGGGGCAGGCACUGAUCUCUGCUCUCUGUGACCAGGGACAGGACUCAGGGAACGGCUGGAGCUGUGUCAGGGGAGGGUUAGGGUGGAUUUUAGGAAAAAGUUCUUCCCCUAGUGGGUGGUGGGGCACUGAACAGGCUCCCCAGGGAAGUGAUCACAACAUCGAGCCUGCCAGAGCUCCAGAAAUGUUUGGACAACRCUCGCAGGCAGAUGGUGGGAUUGUUGGGGUGUCUGUGCGGGSCCAGGAGUUGGGCUGGAUGAUCCUUGUGGAUCCCUUUCAAUUCCAGACAUUCUGUGAUUCUAUAAUAACAGUGUCCCCCUCGGGUUUGGACACAGUGCACSGUUGCUUUGCCUUUGGAGUUCACCUGGCCCGCCAGCUUGGUGUGUGGACCAGCUUAAGAAUUAGAGGUGCUUUUCUUUUUUCAAACCUUCCUUCAUUACCCGAGCCUCUCGUUUACUCAUUCCUUAACUUCACAUGCGUGAGCCUUUUGUGUUCCCAGCAGGCAGUUAGGGGGUCAAGGAAAAGUGUUGGGUUGUCCCAGGCUUUACAGGAUUACGGGAUCCCAGGCAAGAUCAUCAGAUAAAUGUAAAUUAAUGAAACAUGUGAAUUCAGAAGAAAUUGARCAGGACAUGGGUAGAAAAAUUCUGUAGGGCUACAUUACGAAGCUGCAUCCACAGUUACAAUUCCUGGGCAUUUUGUCUUUCAUAGAUGCACAGGUAAAUAUCCUGUGGAUAGGAACCUUUCUGGCUAUGUUCAGCUCGGGAACAGCMUAUCAGUUCCAUAUCAGUAAAGGAAAUUGUGUCCCUGUCAGCCAAUUUGACUGUAAAUGACAUGAAUGAAGGGAAAGAAGAAAAGGGGAGGACAAGGUAGUAUGUGUUAGGGAUGUAUGGGAGUAGCAGGAGAAAGGGAAACACUGACACAACUGAUUAUUGUGAUCAUGAAAAAAAGAGGCAAGUCCAAAAGGUGUUUGGUGUUUUGGGGGAUUUUCAUUGCAUGGCAAAGUAAAGAGUAGGUUACUUYAUUCUCCACUGCCCCAGUUUCAUUAAUUGCAUCCAUGACACCUGGAUGUGCUUAAAUUUAUGUGAGGGUGCAUUUGGUUCCAUGGUGCAUAUGGGUCUUUGCUCACCAAAAAUGCAAAGUGUGCAAAGGAUUAUUCUAGACGGGUGCCUGAGGAAGGCAUUACCUAUCUUAUAUAUUCUGUCCCCUCAAAUUAAUAUCCAGAGUUGUCUCAUGGCUAAGUUUGGAUUUUUUUCCUAAUCAUUUCCUGAGGCUUGCAGGUGUGUAUCUUCUAGGAUGUGCUCUGAAGGUUUCAGGAAAAGAGAAAGUGGUAAUCUUGGCUCAAACACCCAGGCAAUCCUGAACCUUCCCUUCCCUGCAUGACCUGUGUGGAGUCUCCCUGGCUGAAAAACUCCCCUUGGAAGUGGCACACUGAGACCUCUCCCCAGCCAGCCACAGAAUGGUCCUCGUGCUUGCUGCUGCCUUCUGAUUCAAUUACUCCUUUCAUUUGUUUGUGUGGGUGCCUUCUUUCAGCAGAGUGGAUGAUCUCCUGCAGCUGAGAUUCCCAUUCCACAUCACUGCAUUUACAGUCAACAGCGAGGAAAGGCAUGCUUUAAAUUCCCACAAGCUGAGACACUGGGAAGCUGAUUCUGGAUCAUGUCUCUCUUGGGYUGGUCUUAGACCUCUGGGACAUCAUAUAAAUAGCCAAUGCUUAUUCCUACUGCAUUUUCUAAGUUCCUAGCAGCUGGCAGUGGGUYGGAGUUGGUCAUCCUGACUGGAAAACUCUCCUCUUCCAUCCAGAAAAGGGCAGCUCAUUUUCUAAUGUGGGCUUCACCUUUUCCCUGUCCUUGGCACCUCCAGCAGCUGCAGAGGCAGUUUUCUAUUUGGUUUUGCUAAUCAUGUCCUGAGAUACCUUACUUUCUGUGCCCAUUGCACAGAGAGUUUGAGUGCCUGAACACAUCUGGAAUCAUGCACAGUGUAAGCAGGAGAGGUCCUGUCCCAUGCUGUGAGUAUCCCAGGUGGAUUGGGCUGCAUUGUCACSUAUCUCAGCCCACCAAACUCUGGGCUUCAGCAGCUGAGUGCCUGGUAUGCCCCUUUCCCUUCAAGGAUAUAYCUUUUGGGGUACAUACAUAUAUAUGUCCCUGGACAUAUAUCCCUGGUAUGUCCCUUYCCUCUAAAGAGGCCCAGCAGCACCAAGAGCAGGGUUCUGUACUCUGAAGUGCUCUGGCUUCCUGCAGUGCCUUGUGCUAUCGUCAGGCUGAGGGGCAGUUGGGACAUUAACCUCCCGCUCCAACAUCCUCCUUGUAAACAUCCCGUCCCGCUCAAGUCCUGUGCUGUCAUAUCCUCUCUGCUCUGCAGCAGACACYGUUCUGGGUAUAGUUCUAUAUGCAAAGCACACAGCUGGGCAUGCCAAAACUCAGGCAGGCAGCAGGACAGAACCUGGCAGUAACUUGGUUCAGCUGCCGAUAUAUCAGAAGUACUGCAGAGAGGGGGAGUUGUAUCUUUUUAAAACUUAACUAUAAUCAUCUGCUUGAGCCCUGCUUUGAAAGACAGUUCACUUCCCUAGGUGUGUGUAGCAGCUAUACCUUACUCCAAGCAGAUGCAAACCUGCGUAUAAGGCAUGAAAAACUCUGGUAAUAAUGGAAAGGCCCAGAACAGAGAGCUUGGAAACCGAAGCACACUAAGUUUACACAAGCAGCAAGUAAAACACCCAUCCCCGGUGAGUCAGUCCUGGCCGUUUCCUUCAUUUCCUCUAAGGCUUGCUGUGAACAUCCAGCGGUAACAACCCUUCUGAAACCCAGUCAUCUCCUUUCCUGCUCCUUGUUUACGCUUUUUCCUCAGCAGGGAGCAGAGUCCCAGCCUCCAGCACUGGAUUUUCACUGCAGCAGACAGAGAACUGCAGACGCUCCCCUGGCCUCAGCCCAGCUUUGGUAUUGCAGUGCCCUUGUUGCUUUUGUGGGUGCCAGCACCUUGAGCAGRUGCUGAGGUAAAAAAGGACAUUUCACUCCCUUUAAAAAAAAAAAUCUUGAAUGCAGCUAUAUGAUUGACAGGUUCUCUCUUCCGAAUCCAUGGCUUUGGAUUCGGUCUGUAGGACAGACAGGAUGCAGUGGGGUAUUACGUUGUUUUAAGAGUACAAACCAUCCUUCAGAGAUAAGGGUUGGAGCUUCCCUGCUUCAGAUUAAGGUGUAUCUCAUGCUGUAAUUUCCCCACAUGACAGCAGCUAGGGAGGAGGAGUAUUUUUAGCUUUUGUUUCUUGGUUUGUUUACAGGAAGUUCUUAAUUUGUGAGAGUGAGCUUUGGCCUGUCUUAGUCUGAGAAUCUGCUUCAGUGCCAGUUGUGGAUGCAGUUACAAAGGUGACUYCCGCUGCUGUCUGGCAGAGCCUUCAUUUAUCCCAGGUUGGAAAACCACUGUGCUUCAUACUAUUAAGAUGCCUUCAAAAUGACAGAAAGACACUAUGGAGGAAAAAACGUGAACUGGGGGAAUGAGUAGUCAGACAAAGAGGAAGAUAAUUGCUGGAUUGGAAUCUCAACCUUGCCCUUUACAUGCACCUCACACACUGAUGUUUCUCCUGCUUCCUCAGGAGUGAGAGAAAGCCUAAAGAGAGAGUAUCCAGSUAUUGAUAAUUUUCUCCUUUUCCUCUUUGAAAAGUCGUUACAGGACUUUUAAAAUAUUUCUAUUCCAUUUGCUAAAGCACGAACUUCAUCAGUCUUACUGAUGUACUUUUCUCAUAUAUGUGGGCAUUGAUGGCAAUAACAUAAGUUGUGGGGGAAGGGGGGUGACACUCAAAGGCCUCUGUAGAAAGGAUCCUGACAACAAACCAACCAAUUCUCUGCCAGAACAUCUAGAACACUUCAUUCUGCCUGUUUUAUUCAGAUUCAGGUAGGCUGCUUACCCUAUGGUCAUUUCUUCAGGCUUUCUGCUCCAACUGUGAACUUUAGAAGUGAAUUAUAGUAAGGGUAAGGUGGAAUAUGGACAGAGUCACACCAGUGCAGGUACUCUUAUUCUAGUCCAGAGCUGCUGAAAUAGUUGGAACCUCUACAAAAUUGAGCAUAGAGAGCAAAAUUGAAAGCAGCAUGGCGCCUUUGAGGGGCUUGCCAAAUAUUCCUCUGGUUCCAGCUGAAAGGGAGGAUGUGGCUGUGUAGGAGCUGCAUGUGUGCAGGUUAUUCCCCAUGUGGGCAGCUGCAGCACCGGAGUGUGGGCAGCCAGGUGGGAGGAUGACACUCAGCACCUUUCCCCUGUGCUCAAAACAGCUGCCUCUGCCCCAGCCCCAUCCUGCCCAUCCCUGCACACUCGGAAACCACUGUGCCAGGAAGUUGCUUCUUUCUAGCUGAGAUCCUCGUAUGAUAAUGUCCAAUUAAGUGUUGUUGCUUGUGGUGUAGGUCAGUAGUAAUGACUCAGACCAGCCCUUCACUUCCCUUCCUCUUGUUGGCUAGACACAAAAUCCAGCCCACAAAUUAAUCUGUCCAAUUCACCAGUAAAGAGGAUUCCCUGUUCAUUAAAAAAUUGCACAAGAAAGUCCUUAGUUUGUACUAAGGUCCUCUUGAAUUGCUGUGAAAUCAAGUACUUAAAAGUUCAGAAAUCCCAAAUUUCCCCUGCAUUCCAGAUGUAGUGUUUGGCGUUUUGUUUURGUCAUGGAUGGAUGGAAUUACAUGCAGUAAUGUAACUUUUAACGAGAUAAACAGUAAUUUUUCAUCAGCUUUGUUUUUGUAGAGGAGGAUAAACAAAGUCAAAWUGUGUCUGCAUGAGUCCUGGAGGUGAAGAUCUCUAAGCCUGGAUGUAUGAUAGUGUAGUGCCCCCUCAUGGGAAGCUGUUCCUGAUGCUGUUUCCUGGCUGCAYCCAGGGAGAGAACACCAGCAGAAGCAUCAUUCUGUUCGUUGUAGCUGCUCCUGUGUGUUGGUUGUUGUCACAUCAGCAGGUUUAGAGAGCAACUUCGCUUUUCCUCCUUCAGGUAGUUUGUGUUAAGGCUUGCUGUAAGGGUAAGUUCAAGAAAGAUACACCAUUUUAUUGUAGUUUCAGGUUUCUUUUUAAAUAAAACCCCUGUAAUUUUAGCACCCGUGGUGGCUUUCCUGAAGGCCCUAAAUUUGAGUCCUGUAAUUUAGAUAACAAAACUCAUAACAGAAAAAUGAGCACAUGUUCCUUAAUCACCUCCACAGUGCUGGCCUGUUUUAUACUGAGAGAGGAUUCCCUGUGCCCCUCACCCCCCUCAGUUCUGGAAAAAGCAGCCUUUCCUAUAGGAUGGAUUGUAAAGAUUGAYGUGAGCUUGCAGAGAAAUACAGCCAUACACACGGGGUGGGGAAGUAUUGUUUGUUUGGAGCUCUGGUGCUGUUGUUGGAAGGGCAGACUGAAGCAGGAUUGUUUCCUAUGAGCAAAGGCACAUUUUUCAUGAAUUGAGCUUUUGUCCUUAACACACAAAAAGGGCCUUUUUUUGUGAUUCACACUGUGUGAUAUUUUUAGUUUUCUUUGCAUUUAGUUAAGAACAGCACAAGAAUAAUACUGCAAAUAACCCAUARAAGUAGAGUGACCCUAUAAAAAGAGUGGUGUUUCUGCCUCAGGAAAAAGCUUGCUGUUGUACUUUGGAGGCUCAGAUUGUAAAGUGGCUGUGGUAGGGGCCACAUCCUUGUCCUGUGGUCAACAUGCAUUUGUCACAGACUCUUUUUCCUCUUCUGAAAUUUUCACACCUCCUGAGACACAGUGAGUUGCAAUCCCCAAGGAAUCUGAGAGAAUAAAGRAACAAAGACCAAAAGGAUGUUUAAAAGUUACCUUGUCACAACUGUAAGCUGAUGGUUGAUGUUCCAUUCCUUGGACCUCCCUCUCCCUUGUUAGUAAUUCUCAAAAAACCCACAUGACCUCCCAAGGCCCAUCASCUUAGUAGAGUACUCACAUCCACCUCCUGCUACCCCUGGGCCCUGGAGCAUUGUCAGGUUGUUCUCUGUAGUGUUUGGGGUUGUGCCUCWUAUUCCCUGCAGGAUUCCAAGCAGUGGCUUGGAUAUCUUUGCCUUUGUCCCASCUCUGGUGCUGGAGUGCCUUCCUGGCAGGGCUCACAGUGAACACAUUCCAUUUCAGGGGUUGAUUUCUUGCUGAGGUGCUUUCAUUGAUGCUGAGGAAGGAAGGGAUGAAUCCUGACUCCAGCUCUUCCCACAAGGAGCAAACAGAUCAGGCUUUUCUCUGGUGUCAACCAGCUGAUCCCGAAUCAGGUCAAAAUUCCCAUCUAAACCCUUUCCAUGUAUAUGCCACAUGGGACUAUGCCUAGAUUAUUUCAUCUUAGAUACCCAGUCAACAACUCAGAAAAGCCCUAACUCUGUCCUUUAUGUACUCCAUCAAAUAAGAUGUCCUAGUGGCCUUAAUUACUCCCAAUGAACUGGGAAGGUCUAAAUGUCUCCCUGUCUUAGGAGUGUUCUCUGCAGUGGAUCCUAUAAGAACCGYAUGGUCUGGAUUUUUUUCCAGUGCCUGGGGUAUCUUAUGCCCCUAUAUUGUCAGAUGGUGGAAAGAUGACUCUAUAAUAUUGCUGUGGGACUGGUCCAGCCCACAAAGAUUUCAACAGGACUAAAAGUACUCCAAAGAAUAUAAAGUGGCUGCUGCUUCGCUUCAUGGGAGCAGGACAUAACAGAGGAGAAAGGCUGAUUGCAGGAAGGAGGUGCCAUGUGACAGAAAUAGCACUAAAAAGUCUUGCCAGCAUUUACCUGCUCAACAACUGCAAGGCAGUUUCUUUGAGAGGAAAGAUGAAAGUUUUCUAUYCAAAUAAGAGCUUGAAUUUAAAUGCCUGCAUUGAAAUCAGGAUUUGUAAAUCUGUAGUAGCUUUGUUAUGCAAAUGCUAAACGUUUUACUCAUCACCCAUAUGUUUAAUGAUCCAUGUGACAUGCAUGGAUGGUUUUUAGUUUAUUUUUGAAAAGGGUAGAUGGAUUUUUGCUUUCCAAAGGCUGAGGGAUAGCUUGGCAAUCAGUCCUCUACUGAGAGAGUGUGGCGAUGUCUGGUUAACUUGUGGUGCAGGGGUUUUCACAACCUCCUAGAUAACAUUUUCCAGCUCUGGCUUGCUCAGGGAAAGUUUCUCCAACAUCUAGUGGGUUUGUUUUUCUUUUCUCCUGUCUUCUUUUCUUUCCUGGAAAUUAAGUUGGUUAGAUCUUACCUCUGUCCUAGCAGUGUAAUCGCUGCCUCUCAAUAGCAACSUCUCAUGCACUGCAACUGCACUAUCGUGUCCUGCCCUAUUUCCAGCUUUCUCCUCUAGACUCAAUAAACGCAGUUCCCUGGUUUCUUCCCAGAGGUUGUUUUGCAAACCUCUUAUCACUGCRGAUGUGCUCCCACACCCACCCUGGAGCAGCCUGGCUGUUUGCUGUUCCCUGUCCAAUGUCAGUGGURGCUUCUUGCUGCACUCCAGCCAUGUAUUGCUGCACCCCCUUCCAUGCUCCCAGUGCUUUCCACAGUGGAGUUGGCCAGGAUUCCUGCGUGGGUGUGGGGGGCCCUGCCGAGCCAGGUGCUGGGAGCAGGUGCCAGGCCCCCAGGCUCUGCCAAGUGCAGGAACCAGCAUGUGCAGCUCACUCCCUGCAUCCCAGCCCUGCAAAGAAACCAGAGUCCCCACAGAACUUCCCGGCUUUGUCCUCAAUUCCCAGGUUCAGGAAAGGCACCAACACUCUCCUCAGGAGCUUCCAGAUCACAGAAUCAAAGAAUGGUUUGGGUUGGAAGGGACCUUAAAGCUCAUCUCAUUCCAACCCCUUACCAUGGGCAGGGACACCUUCCACUAGGCCAGRCUGCUCCAAGCCCCCUCCAAWCUGUCUUUGAACACUCCCAGGAWGGGGCAGCCUCUGUGCCAGGGCAUCACCACUUUCAGAGUAAAGAAUUUCUUCCUGAUACCUAAUGUAAACCUAUUCUCUGUCAGUUUGAAGCCAUUCCCCCUUGUGCUGUCACUCCAGGCCCUUGUAAAUUGUCCCCAUCUUUCUUGUAAGACCCUUCUACAUAUUGAAAUGCCUCCUAAGGUCUCCCUGGAGCCUUCUCCAGGCUGAACAACCCCAGCUCUCUACACCUGUCCUCAUAGGAGAAGUUAAUUAAUUUCUGACUGAUUUCUGCUAAUCUGCUUUGGAGAGGCUCUUAGGCAGAAGAAGUUCCCAUUUUCUAAGAAGUGUGCUCAUUUCAGAAACUCCUAAGGAGGAAGGGCUGCCAAAGAACARGUGUAAGUCCUCUCCUUCAUUUCAGGAGCACCAGCUUCCAGGAUCUGUUGGAGUUAUGUAACCCCCUUGUAUCAGCUACUUCAGUGUCCAGCAGGGGAAGUCCUGGUCAUGCACAGUGUUACAGAAACAAAUCCUUCUAGUCUAAAGACCCCAAACAGUAUAUAGAGCACUCAUUAUUGCCAGUAUUCUGAUUAAUACUUUAUUAUAAAAUGGGCACCUUCUGCUGUCAUUUAUUUCACUUUCUUCCCAACACCCCUUUCUCCCAAAUCAUCCUUAUAUCCUUCCUGAGUUCCCAGCAGAUUCAGUUUUCAAACCAAAUAUUUUGUCCUGCUGCCUGGACAAGAUGUUGCAUUAAAUGCCAAAGAGGAUGGACAAGGCAGUCUCUCCCUGCUGAUCCUCCCAUGGGAAUGCCAGUAAGAGCUCUCUGCUGCACCUGGCCACUGAUCCCUGGUUAUAGGAGCACUGAUCCCUGGAUACAGGAACCUUCUCAUCUCUUGAUUCCUCUACCUGUUUGUAUUUGAUUGAAAUGAGCCAGUUGGUUCCUAAUUGGGGGAUGACAGUGGGAUAAAAAGAAUCUUACUUCCUCCAGAAACUAGAGGAAAAAUCCCUCCCCGAGCCUGUCAAAAGCAUACCAUGAAAUUAACCUCCAAAUCUACAAAUACGUACUUAAUAACAUCAAAGAGAGCUUCUGAACUGUCUUUGAUUUUGAAACUUCUGGGRAGAAAUGUUAGGUGGUGAUUCAUCUGACUUGUUUUAGGUGUCUGCCUUAGGAAUAGAUGAGUCAUGYCCUAGAAGUGCUGCUUCAAUAUUUGAAAAAGGGGCUUCUCUUAUUUUGUUUGAUGACCUAUUCUCAGUCUGUUAUUACUUAUAAUAUUUUAAAACUAUUAAAAUUUUKAAUGCAGAGUUAAUCUUCGCUCAGGAUGAGGAUGGGCUGAUAAUGUAUCUUUCUGUGAGAACCACGGUUUCAUAAAAUCAGUUUCACUCCUGUGAUUUUGCAGUUUGUCUUCUGGAAGGGAUGUGUGGAGUAGACACAGUGAAGUUGUAAGACCAAAGAAGACAGAAGCCUAGAGGGGAAAAAGGUGAGCAAGUCAGAAUCUGAAACAACACAGUCAGGAAACACAGGUGAUGUGGUUUCUCUAAAAAGCUUGUUUGUUCAGUUGGAGGGAAAGGGAAUUGUGUAUACRCAGCUGUAGUUUUAGUAACUGUAUAUAAAUAAAGGAAGAUUGUACACACUAUCUAAUAUCAUUGUAUUAGAUUUUACAUAAUACCAGGAUAUACUGUUACAGAUUUUAUAUGUGUGUGUGUGUACUGUUGUAGACUCCAAAUCUAUGUGCAGAACACCUUGACAGAAACGUCCUGUGUAUGGGAAGUGGAAAGUGAUGGAAUAAAUAACUUUCUCUUACAUCCAGUGAUCCAGCUUUUUAAAGUUGCUGAGACAACUAACCCUUCACUAUAGCUAAGAAACACUUGAAGAUGGCUCCUCACUUCAGGGAUGGUCCUCUAAUUCCCCUAACGCAAAGAUGAACUCAGUGGGAUGUAGACCUGAGCUCUAAUUGAUAUUCCUGUGGUUGUCUGCCAACCCUAGGCCAGGUUUAGAUGUUCUUCAGAAUCUUUCAUUUGUGWUUGGUCUUCCCUUCCCUUGAGCUGCAUUCGGUGUCCUUUUGCAUAUAUAGGAUCUUAUGAAAGCGGUAUUUAAAAGCAGAAAUGUGUUCAUAAACUUUACUUAUGAAAAGGGUGGUAGACUGAGGUAUAAAAUUAAUCUAAUUGGGCAGAAGACAGAACUUCAUUUACAGCAGAUGAACACACUGUUAUUUAAAGUAAGCAGCAUCCUAGCUAUUCAUGGAAUGGCAUUUGUCUUCAAUAAAUAUUUUACAUAAUACAUGCAAGUUAUUCAUGGAAUGGCAUUCAUUUUUCAUAGAAGUUUUAUGUAAUGCUGACCCCUUGGGACUCACAGGAAUAAAGAUUUGAUAAAAACAUGGUCUCUUACGUUCCA